AUGAGUGGCCUAGCGGAGGGAGCCGUAGCCAGGGGGAGGGAGGUUCACGGGUGCAAGUAUCACACUCCUCGUUUCACAAAGCUUGGCCACCCAAGCACUAUACAUGUUAAUAUCCUCAGACACAGGUGGUCCAAAGCUGGGCAAGAACACCUGCUGCAGGUCUGGAAGAAGCUGGAAGAAGCCCACCAGGAAGAACUUUAUGCGGAGCUUCAGGCCAUGAACUUUGAGGAGCUGAAUUUCUUUUCCCGAAAGGCCAUUGAAGGAUUUAAUCAGUCUUCUCAGCAAGAGAAAGUAGAUGCACGAAUGAAACCCGUCCCUCAAGAGGUGCUGGGCAGUGCCACGAGGGAUCAAGAUCAGCUGCAGGCCUGAGGAAGUGAAGGACUUUUCCAAAUUUCUCAGAACAAAGUAGCAGUGGUUCUCCUACUAGCUGGUGGGCAAGGAACAAGACUUGGAGUUGCGUAUCCCAAGGGGAUGUGUGAUGUUGGCUUACCAUCCCAUAAGACACUUUUUCAGAUUCAGGCAGAAUGUAUGCUGAAGCUACAACUGUUAGCUGAAAAAUAUUAUGGCAACAAACACAUCAUUCCAUGGUAUAUAAUGACCAGUAGCAGAACAAUGGAAGCAACACAGGCGUUCUUCACAAAGCACAAAUACUUUGGUUUAAAAAAAGAGAAUUAAUUUCUUUUCAGCCAGGAAUGCUACCUGCUAUGAGUUUUGAUGGGAAAAUUAUUUUGGAAGAGGACAACAAAGUUUCUAUAGUCCCAGAUGGAAAUGGGGGUCUUUAUCGGGCUCUUGCAGCUCAGAAUAAUGUGGAGGAUAUGGAAAAAAGAAGCAUUUGGUGCAUUCAUGUCUAUUGUGUGGACAAUAUAUUGGUCAAAGUGGCAGAUUCACGGUUUAUUGGAUUUUGCAUUCAGAAAGGAGCAGACUGUGGAGUGAAGGUGGUAGAGAAGACAAAGCCUACAGAACCAGUUGGAGUGGUUUGCUGAGUGGAUGGAGUGUACCAGGUGGUAGAAUACAAUGAAAUUUCCCUGGCAACAGCUCAGAAACGAAGCUCUGAUGGACGACUGUUGUUCAAUGCGGGCAACAUUGCUAAUCAUUUCUUCACUGUACCAUUUCUGAGAGAUGUUGUCAAUGUUUAUGAACCUCAGCUGCAGCACCAUGUGGCUCAAAAGAAGAUUCCAUAUAUGAAUUCCCAGGGAGAGUUAAUUAAGCCAGACAAGCCAAACGGAAUAAAGAUGGAAAAAUUUGUUUUUGACAUCUUCCAGUUUGCAAAGAAGUUUGUGGUAUAUGAAGUAUUACGGGAGGAUGAGUUUUCCCCGCUAAAGAAAGCAGACAGUCAGAAUGGGAAGGACAACCCUACAACUGCAAGGCAUGCUUUGAUGUCCCUUCACUAUUGCUGGGUGCUCAAUGCCAGGGGCCACUACAUAGAUUAAAAUGGUUCUCGCCUUCCAGCAAUUCCCCACUUGAAGGAUGCCAAUGAUGUACCAAUCCAGUGUGAAAUCUAUCCUCUUAUCUCUUAUGCUGGAGAAGGGCUAGAAAGUUAUGUGGCAGAUAAAGAAUUCCAUGCACCUUUAAUCAUUGAUGAGAAUGGAGUCCAUGAGCUGGUGAAAAAUGGCAUAUGAGUCAUGUGCCAAGUUCUGCCACAACAGGGGAUAGCUUUUUGUUUUUAACAGCCC